rnacentral:tRNA from 1 species
GCGUCUGUAGCUCAAUUGGAUAGAGCGUCGGACUUCGGAUCCGAAGGCUUGUGGGUUCGAAUCCCACCAGACGCG